rnacentral:rRNA from 1 species
GUGCCAGCCGCCGCGGUAAUACGGAAGGUCAGGGCGUUAUCCGGAUUUAUUGGGUUUAAAGGGAGCGCAGGCGGGCAGUUAAGCCGGCUGUGAAAGUGCGGGGCCCAACCCCGUAUUGCGGUCGGAACUGACGGUCUUGAGUGCGCGCAGGGACGCUGGAAUUCACGGUGUAGCGGUGAAAUGCUUAGAUAUCGUGAAGAACUCCGAUGGCGAAGGCAGGUGUCCGGAGCGCAACUGACGCUGAGGCUCGAAAGUGCGGGUAUCGAACAGGAUUAGAUACCCUGGUAGUCCGCACCGUAAACGAUGUACACCCGCAGUCGGCCUUUUUUUGGUCGGUUGCCAAGCGAAAGCGUUAAGUGUACCACCUGGGGAGUACGCCGGCAACGGUGAAACUCAAAGGAAUUGACGGGGGCCCGCACAAGCGGAGGAACAUGUGGUUUAAUUCGAUGAUACGCGAGGAACCUUACCCGGGCUUGAACUGCCACUGACGUGACCAGAGACGGUCAUUUCUUCGGACAGUGGCGGAGGUGCUGCAUGGUUGUCGUCAGCUCGUGCCGUGAGGUGUCGGCUUAAGUGCCAUAACGAGCGCAACCCUUGUCCGUGUUUGCCAUCAGGUAGAGCUGGGCACUCCACGGAUACUGCCAUCGCAAGAUGUGAGGAAGGUGGGGAUGACGUCAAGUCAGCACGGCCCUUACGUCCGGGGCUACACACGUGUUACAAUGGGAGCUACAGAGGGAAGCCACCCUGUGAGGGGGCGCGGAUCCCGAAAGGCUCUCUCAGUUCGGAUCGGAGUCUGCAACCCGACUCCGUGAAGCUGGAUUCGCUAGUAAUCGCGCAUCAGCCAUGGCGCGGUGAAUACGUUCCCGGGCCUUGUACACACCGCCCGU